GACGGCAGACAGAGAGAAGAGGGGGAUCGAGAGGAGGAGGAGGAGGAGGAAUCUUCGUCUCUGGGUGGAUCAGUUUUCUCCUCAACACUACACUGAACUACUCAGCGACGACGUGAGUGGUGGAGGUUGGGGAUCGGGACUGGUGGAGGUUUGGGAACAGGACUGGUUGGGGAACAGGACUGGUGGAGGAGGUUGGGGAACAGGACUGGUGGAGGAGGUUGGGGAACGGGACUGGUGGAGGAGGUUGGGGAACGGGACUGGUGGAGGAGGUUGGGGAACAGGACUGGUGGAGGAGGUUGGGGAACGGGACUGGUGGAGGAGGUUGGGGAACAGGACUGGUGGAGGAGGUUGGGGAACAGGACUGGUGGAGGAGGUUGGGGAACAGGACUGGUGGAGGAGGUUGGGGAACGGGACUGGUGGAGGAGGUUGGGGAACAGGACUGGUGGAGGAGGUUGGGGAACAGGACUGGUGGAGGAGGUUGGGGAACAGGACUGGUGGAGGAGGUUGGGGAACGGGACUGGUGGAGGAGGUUGGGGAACAGGACUGGUGGAGGAGGUUGGGGAACAGGACUGGUGGAGGAGGUUGGGGAACGGGACUGGUGGAGGAGGUUGGGGAACGGGACUGGUGGAGGAGGUUGGGGAACAGGACUGGUGGAGGAGGUUGGGGAACAGGACUGGUGGAGGAGGUUGGGGAACGGGACUGGUGGAGGAUAUAUAGUUACCCAGGAGGUCACCAUGGACACAUGGAUAUAUAGUUACCCAGGAGGUCACCAUGGAUACAUGGAUAUAUAGUUACC